rnacentral:hammerhead_ribozyme from 1 species
GCAUUGCUGAAGAGUCUCAUAACGGGACGAAACAGUCGUCCAGUGC